ACGUAGGUGGCUAGCGUUAUCCGGAUUUACUGGGCGUAAAGGGUGCGUAGGCGGUCUUUCAAGUCAGGACUUAAAGGCUACGGCUCAACCGUAGUAAGCUCCUGAUACUGUCUGACUUGAGUGCAGGAGAGGAAAGCGGAAUUCCCAGUGUAGCGGUGAAAUGCGUAGAUAUUGGGAGGAACACCAGUAGCGAAGGCGGCUUUCUGGACUGUAACUGACGCUGAGGCUCGAAAGCUAGGGUAGCGAACGGGAUUAGAUACCCCGGUAGUCCUAGCCGUAAACGAUGGAUACUAGGUGUGGGAGGUAUCGACCCCUUCCGUGCCGGAGUUAACGCAAUAAGUAUCCCGCCUGGGGAGUACGACCGCAAGGUUG
rnacentral:rRNA from 1 species